CAAUAGCGUAUAUUAAAGUUGUUGCAGUUAAAAAGCUCGUAGUUGGAUUUCUGGGGGGGCGCGGAUUGUCCGCAGCCGCGUGUGCAGAUGCGCCCUUUCAUCCUUCUGUUAACGUCUCAUGGCAUUCAUUUGCUGGGGGGCGGGCUCAGAUAUUUUACCUUGAGAAAAUUAGAGUGUUUCAGGCAGGCUCGCGUCGGAAUACAUUAGCAUGGAAUAAUAGAAUAGGACUCAGUCCUCCUUUGUUGGUUUGAGGGGUCAGAGUAAUGGUUAAUAGGGAUAGUUGGGGGCAUUAGUAUUUGACUGUCAGAGGUGAAAUUCUCGGAUUUGUUAAAGACUAACUUAUGCGAAAGCAUUUGCCAAGGAUG
rnacentral:rRNA from 1 species